rnacentral:sRNA from 1 species
GUGGUCAGCGCGGCCGAAGGGCGUGGUUGGCGCUCAGUCCUGCCCUGCGCGUUUUGGGCUGCGGUUGGAGGGCCGCAGCUGCAGUCAGGGUCCGCCAGCUCGGGGCCACCGCAUGGGGCUUCUGAGACCGCUCCGGACGUGCGAAGCGUUCGCGGUGCGGUGGAGAAGACCAAGCUUUCUGCCUCCGAGGAGCUCCCUCAGACUCCGAGCCUUCCCAGAACAACAACUAUUUGCUCAGGACAUGAUGCUGAUACCGAAGAUGAUCCAUCCCUAGCGGAUUUGCCCCAGGCGCCCAGCUCAGGUCUCUCUUGCCUGUCACAGUGGAAGUCCAUGCCGAGCCCAGGUUCCGCAGCUCCUCAGCCUUCCAGCUGCAGCAUCUCUGCUUCCUCCACAGGCAGCAGUCUCCAGGGUCACCAAGAGAGGACGGAGCCUCGUGGUGGUUCUCUGGCCAAGGUCUCCUCCUCCCUGGAGCUGGUCGUCCCCCAGGAACCCUCCUCUGUGGUGGGGCUAGGACCUCGGCCCCAGUGGUCAC